UCGGGUUUCUUCUGCUUCGAGUUUGGAGUUUGUGUGCAACUUUGGGCUCGCUGGCUUUUCAUUCACCAAAAACUGGUUCGACGUUUAAGUUCUUCACUUGGCUUAGACGGGGGUUUUCAAGGAAAUUCUUCGAUCCCACACCCCUCUCGUUCGCUGUGGAAUGUGUGAAGUCAUCGAGCUGGGGGCAGAGAUUUGAAUGCCAGCCUCGUCUUCUUACACUUUAAAAGACCUGGGCGGCACUUGCAGUAACAGGGUCUUGAAAAUUCCAUGCCCCCGCACACAGUCGCACAUGCUGCGCGCACAGAUACUCUCACUUACACAGAGACGCACGCACACACCUGCCGCCCCUCGAGGGCUGCUCGUUUUUCCAUCGAAUCUGAGAAUCAGUCAAACGAAACAGACAUCGAUAGCACUUCAUCAUGUAACAAUCAUUGCAGGGGCCCUACACUGCGAGAAAAGUCACGCAUGACCUUCGACACAGUCAACCUCAAUCGCAUUCCGAUUUGUGGCAAUUAUUUUGGGAAAUCAAAAAUUAUAAGAUAUUGGAUUUUUGUGCCUGAUUUGCCACAUUGUGAUGCGUGAGCCAACCCCCUGCCGCCACCCACCACCAACCAUCCCUCACAUCCAUCCCCUUGACCCUGGGCAAGGGUGCCAGCCCAGUUACUUGUGUCAAAAAGUUCUCCUGAUGCUCGUUCGUCGGUUCAGCUCGCUCGUGUUUCCCCCUUGACCCUUCUGCCUGACAGCUACUUGUCAAUGGCCGUGAUGAGUGUGUGCCCCCUCGCCACCCACUAUACCCCCCUUACACCGCCACCUGCAACCUUAAGCGUACACUGGAGAAACAGGAUCCUAAUGGUUAAAGAUGCUUUUUAAUAAUAUGUUAAACUAUUUAUA